UCUUGGCACUCGGGGGGGACUGCAAGGCAUGGGGAGCGCUGCUCUCCACCCAGCACAGCUCUACUGUGCUUCGUGACGAGGCGCAUGGCCCUCAGAUCGGUGGAGGUUAUUAUGCCCUUCACUCAGUGCUGGCAAGGCCCCAGCUGGGAUACUGCGUGCAGCUCAGGACCCCCAGUUCGUGGGGGAUGUGGGGAAACUGGAGAGGGGCCAGCAAAGAGCUGCCAAGACUGGCUGGGCCCUGGGCACAGGCCUGCAAGGAGAGCUGAAGGGGCCGCGAACCUAGAUCAGCACCAUCCCUGCCAAGACAGCAGGUUAAACGUACUGCUAUGAAACACUGAUUUGACUAAGAUAUGAAGUUCUGAACCAAAGCAGCAGAAAACAGUACAUGUGGCACAGGCAGCAGGGAGCAGAUACCUUCCUCGGUGGGAGCUGGGUGGGCCAUGACACAUUAUUUUGUCUUCUUGCUGAGGCAGAUUUUGGAGCUGGUUUGCAAGAGAACAAGCCGUCCAUCCUUGCCUCCAUACAGGCACAAAAUCACUGCGAGUUGCACAGACCUGCCACAUGCUUUGAGAGGAGAAGCUGACUCUUUCUGGAACAUGCAAAGCAGAGUCAGGAUCUCUUCUACAGAAUCACACUGCCCUGGACAUCAUUAGUAUUUUCUUACCAGCUUUUCACUAUUUCACUGUGGGAUGGAGAGGGGACAGGUAAUUUUAGCCAAACCGUAGUGUUUUGAAAUGAAUUUCUCCACGGAGGAGAAACUUGUUGGUGACAUUCUUUAUUGGUGAUGUUCUUGUUGCCCCACCCAAAUACGGCCAUUUAAAAGACUCUUACAAAUUGCGGUAGAGUUGUCCUAUAAUUUAGUAACUAGUUUCCUGAAUCAGCCUGUCCCAUGGCACGUGCUGUGCUGCAGCGCAGGGCUGGGCAAAGGGAAUAGGGCAGCCAAGCUCAGGAGGGAAACAAGGAGAAAAAAAGAGGUGUUGGGAGGGAGCAGAUGGGAGCAGCAAAGGGAGACUGGGAACGUGCAAAGCAGGAAAAAGAGAAGGAGGAGGAGAAGAAGCCCCACAGAAGAACAGGGGAUUUGGAGGGGAAUGGUUGGGGCUGGAGCUGAAGGGAGAUGAGGCGCCUUUGAAAGAAGACUGGCAGGAAGAGUUUGUUUUGUGGAGGAGAGUUUGAAGGGAUGGACAUAAAAAGCUGUGCCCACCAGAGCAGAGUGGGCUUCUGGAGUUGAAGACCUUCAGUCUCAGCAUCAAUUUGAUUAAACAAAUAUGAAAACUAACAUCACGCUCCCUAGGACUGGUCCAUAGGGAGCACGGCAAACUCCCAGUGCCGUGAGUUUUUUCUUUAAACCACAGAAAAUCGCUGAUUAAACUAUCUUACUAAACAUUAUUAGUCUCACAAAGGGAACAGGGGAAAAGUCCCAGAUAACCUGCACUUCCCCUGUAAAUUUUAUUUGUCACAAACCCCUCUUUGGUUCCAGACCCCAGCUCAGACAGGGCAGGAGGCAGGCCUGCUGUGGAUGAAUCCCAGCUGUGCAGCCAAGGUUCAUUUGCUGCAGGAUUUAGGUAGUGAAGGAGGCAGGAAUGGUAGGAGGAGAAAGGACUGUUCAAGCAGCUGGAUGCUGUCCUGGGCAGUUUUUCUCCUGUUCUUCUGUCACAGAUUUUUUGUACUUGGUCUUCCAGUGCAAUCUGUUCCUCAUAUGUUUCGUACCUGACUGGAGAGCUUGAAUACCAGUCUUACAGAUGGGCUGCACGCUUACCUUGGGAAGGAAAAUUGCUAAAUAAUGCCCAAAUCACAUCUGAGAUGCUUUCAGUCAGAACUCCAGCAAGAAUGAAAAUUAUGACCUGAGUCUCUGCCCUGAUGUUCGGACUUCAGAACAGGGGUAAUCAUCCAUCAUCAUCCAUGUAGACUAGUAGGAUGAACACUCAUAAAUCAGCCUGCUUCCACCUAUGUGAGACACCAUAUACCCUCUUCUAAGGUCAUACACGUAUCUCCAUAUUUAAAGGAACGCGCUAAGGUGUAAAUUGCUGGUCCUUCUUUCAUGAACUACCUGCUCUGCCAAAGAUCGCACUCUGAUCAUCUUCCACUCUCUCAAAACACAUCCACUGCUUUUUCUUUUCCCUCACUACAAAGAAAAGAUCUGUCUGUUUCCCUCUGUAUGUGAUCACAGCAUUUCACCUCUUAUGCUGUGGCUAAAAUCAGCUCAUCCCUGGAAACCACAACGCUCAACGUACUUUUCCCAGCUCUGCCUGGUAAACAUGCAUGUGAGGGUGUGUGUGCAUGUACCUGUGUAAUGCGUAAAGAACCACAGAAUGGGGAAGAAGACCUGGUUGUGAGGUCGUCGGUAGGUAUCAUCUGCCAUCAGUGAAUUCAAAGAUCUGCAAAAAACACCAAAGAAGGAUUUGUAACAUCUACACUGUUUGUUCUACAAACAGUUGUAUUUCCAGGAAAAGGGUUGUAAUUCCAUGAAUAAGGGAUGCGAAUAGCCUUUGGUUUGAAAACCAAUGUAAAGAAGGGGUGGUUUGAGCUUAUGAUGGACAAAAUAUGAAAGCUUCUCAAAGUGCUCUUGAGUUUUUUCCUGGGCAUUUUUGUUCUCGUCACUACUCUCUGACCCUUUAGUAAUCACUAUGGAAAUUGCCAAAUAGUGCUCUAUUUACAAAUGCCUACAGAAAUCUGCUGGAGUUUUGUCUGAACCCAGAGCAAAACACCUAGUCCCAGCUGAGAAGAAAGGUUAUUUCUCAUGUUUGAACCUCUUCUUUGACCAGACCACAAAAGCUGUGGGUAGCCGACGUCCUGCCCAAGUUAAUGGACCUGCGUGGAUUUAUACUAGAUACGCAUCUGCUGUGUUUACCUAAGGCCAUAUAUGUUUCCAGAAGUGUGUGGGUCAUGGUCAUCUGCAUAGCAAAAAGAGCUUUUAAGUUUUUGCUGCUAUUAAAAAUAUAUACUGUAACUAUACUGUGUAUAUUUCCAGUGACAGCACAAAGCUACAGAAAUCCGUCUUCAUUUUGGACAGUCCGAUCUUAAUUGUUUUAUCACUAGCCCUUAUUUUAUGCGUGAAAUCUGUGUCUCUGCAAGGUUGUGCAGGAUCGUUUGGCAGAGCGCAAGGGAUGGAGGAGGUGAGGCUGAGUGAACUGCGCUUGUUCCGCCGGGAGAAGGGAGAGCAAAGGGCGACCUAGCAGCAGACAUCCACUGCCGAACGGGGAUUACAGGGAAAGCCGAGCCAGGCUCUUCUCAGCCGCGCAUGUGGGAAGGAGACGUAUUGCGCCAAGGGAGGUUUGAACUGGACGGAAGGAAAAACUGCUUCCUCGGGAGGCUGGUGCAGCCUUGGGACAGGCUUCCCAAAGGGAUGGCGGGUCCUCUGUCCUUUCGGGUUAUUAAAACUUGACUGGACAAGGCCCCGCGCAAACUGGUUGAACUUUAGGCAUGGCCCUGCUUUGAGCAAAAGACUAGGUCAGAAACCGAAAUAUUUCUGUGGUUCUAUCUGUUACAGAGAGAGACACUGUAAGGUUGAAACACAAUUUCCAGGAGUUUCUUUCAAGUCAGCUCAUAUCCUGACAAUGAUAUAGGAAAAUGACCCACGGACACAGGCAAAAUGAAUUCUCAAAAUGCCAGGUGCUCAGAUCUUUUUUCUCCCAGCUGGCUCCGAUAGUUUUGCUUAUGCAGUUUAGGUCUUCAUAUGCAAAUCACAGAUUUGCCACCAUGCUAGACCAUUAUCAGAAAACAGAUCUUCCAAAAAUUAUUUAAGCAAUCAUUUUCAGCAUCGUAUUUUGGACAGGGAAAUGGAUGUAAAGUGACAUCUUUGAGGUCUUUGAGUUUUCCCACUCUUUAUUCUGCUUCAGGACCAUGCAAGUUUGCUAUGUGAGAAUGUCAUUAUUAUUUUCAAAGACAAAGAGCAAAGGAAGGUCGGAAAUUGAAGUGUGAAAAUGCAAAAAAGUCUCUUUCAGUAGCGAAUGUUUAUUUAGAUGUGAGAAUGAGAAAAGAUCUACGCGUAGGCCGAAAGGGGGCAAGAUCUGCUUUCAUCAGGUAAAUCCCACCGCAGAAGACUCUCUCCAGCCGGAGCCAUGCGCUGAGUGCAAGUGGCGUGGGAUUCACCCCUGCAGUCCAUGGGUAGAGGGCACCUCCAGAAGACAUCCAGUGCCACCCGUCCUGAAGUAAACUCUCCAGAGCUGCGGUGGCAAAAGCUGGGGAGAUGCACCCCAUGUGCAGCACCCUGUGCCCUGCUCCUGGGUAAGAGCCCUCCCCUGGACACCCCGUUUGGGCUGAGCAGCACAGGAAAUGCAAGCAAAUGCCUCUGAGCAUGAGCCCACGGCCCGGGAGCUGCGUCUCUGGCCAGCGAGUUGGGUAAUGCACGGGAGGGAGGCAUCGGUCACGUCCCUCUUCGAAGAGAGGCGGCCAGCGAUGUGCUGCCGGCAGCGCUGCGCCACGCAGAGGGCUUGUUGCUGAGACAAGACGGGGUGGUCCUUGCUGGUUCAGUGUAAAUAGCUGAGUACUGGAGGUAAUUUCUUUCAGUCCCUUGUUAUCCAGCUUUAUUGAAUGGGGAGUGUCAUUUUUUUGUCUUUAGAACUAGUCUGGGCAACACUGACAGAGGAGUUGAAAAGUGAGAGCUAAUCCUGCAGGAAUGACUCAUUCUGGCAUACGAUUUGCAGAGCAGGAUGAGAAGUUCAGGUAAAACAAAGGGAAAUGGAGGCCGUAGUAAAACUCUGUGGUUUGGAGCUUGACAGUUUAACUGCUACAGAGUCAAAGCUGGAAACCCCCUCUCAACAAAUUGCUAUACUCAAAACCUUGGCAAUGUCUAGAGCAAGUCAAUAUUUGAGCGCACUUGAUCCAAAAACAGAGGCUCUUUCCCAUGGGAGCUGUAGAUUGGAUUGCUAAUUACCAUGGGACUGGAAAACUACUACUACUACUACUAUUAUUAUUAUUAUUAUUAUUAUUAUUAAUUAAACACAAAACAAUGGCUGUCCCUUUAAAGUUUCACUUUGAAAUAUUUUCUGCAUUUUUUAACAGGGGCUACAUCAGCCAAGUCUGAACAGAGAAGUAUUGGAGCUUUGACAAAGAUUUAUGGUUAUUUACAAGCAGAUUUCUCUAGCAAGGACAACAUAAUAGCAGACUGAAAGCAGAAGACUAGCCUAGAUACCUGGGCUGAGGAAAGGGAGCUUGGAUUUCUGGAAAAUAUAGCAUACAAACAGUGCAUUCCUUUGUGCAUCCUUGGGAAAUUCUUUUAACUAUUUCAGCUUGUUUCCUCCAUCUGAAAUUUUUGCAGACAUAUCCAACUGAUUGCUGAGAGAGAGCCCCUCUCCAGAGUGUGGAUUGCAGAGGUUCAUUUUUCCAUUAUUUUUUGAAACAUUUCAUCUAGUUAGAUAAAGAUGACAGUGUGGCAAUAACAAAAUGCAAUAGCAUCACAGAGAAGACGACACUUUUCCAUCCCAGCCUUUCCAUGUAAGUUGAUAGAAAUAUGACACUUGCAGAAAAGCGGUGCUCACAUGAGCUGAUCAUUUAAAAAAGAGCAAUAAGAGACCAGGAAUUAUAAAGCACCAAGAAGUAUAAAACACUGAGAAGUUUCAAAGAAACUUGUUUAUGAAAUGGCUGAAGCCUUAACAGAGAUGUUGCAGCCUUUCAGCAGCUGCAGGUCCCAUUCUUGUAAGCCACGAGGGAAAAGGACAGGUUGGCUUCGUGGAAGAGCUGAGACCUGGCAAAUCCCGUAGUAGUCUUGGACACUCAGUGUGCGGUGAAGUGCUGGGGUGUCGGCGGCAGGGUUUCUGCAGAAAGAAGUGUUGUCUCAGUCAUCCUUAGACUUCCCUGAGCAUGUGGGCAGAGCGGUGUUGCUGUCAGCACGGUGAGUUUAGGCUGUGAAAGUAUCCCCAGCAAGACUUGCAAAAAGGGCUGCCAAAGGCUAUGAACGGACACAGGGCAAAGACGCAGAAAGCAGCAAGUGGGAUUUCGUCGCCUCUUCUCUCUUACCAGGCUGAAAGCUGAGGCUUUGGUCUUUCACGCUGUUUGGUGUGUUUGUCACCACGCUAGAGAGAGCGGGAAGGAGCAGGAGAUGGUGAUGGCUCAAAGUUACUUGUUUUACUCAGGACCUUGUAAAAGCCCGCACGUGAGAGCACCAGGACACGACGGGGGAAGCAGUCCCAGCGGGAGGAGGCUUGCUGGAGAGCCAGCCCUACACAAGUCUCCAGGUGGACCUCCGAGGUCUCUGGUAGGGGUGAGUGGGGGACUCUGGCUGGAGGAGGCUGGUCGGGCAAGAGGAGGUUGUGCGUGUGCGUAGCAGGGCUGCAACGGCCUCCUCCGGCCACCCUGCCUGCCCCUCGGUGUCUCCGGGCCCUGCUGAGGACGGCGUGGGGCUGGCCGUGCAUGCAGGCACAUUCCCCCGCGGAUUAGCCCUGCAGGGAGUGUAGCGCUGCUGGAAUGUCCUCCCGGCGCAACCCGAAACCCGCGAUGUGUUGCAGCCUGAAAAACUGGAUGGGUCACGGCGGCUGCUACAGCAGCAUAACCCCGCAGUCCUGGGCAAGGAUUGCCUAACCGUGGAGGCUUUCCUGACACCUCGUCCCUCUGGGAGGUGGUGGCACUGGGCCGGAGCAGGGCUUGCUGUUGGUCUUGCGUUUUGCUGCACCACUGAUACACAGUGGACAGGGUUGUUUGUUAAAGGCAAAUGGGUUUUCAUUGCAAUGCUCUGGGGCUUAAGCCCUCCGUAAUUCAUCCAGCUGCUCAAAACAGCUGUUGGUGUUGGUCUAGCUUAUGAGUCACCUUUCUCCACAAUAGUGUGACACCGAGAGGUGUGUAUUGCUCUGCUCCCUUUUGCACAUAAUGUCUUAAACAAAGAGGAUUGCAGCUGUGGUCAGAAAAGUGGUGGCAGCACGUGUCUUCAUUUAAGGCCCGAUCCUGGGUAGGGAUCCCAGGGAAAAACUCAGUCAGCUUCUCAUGCUCAUCCCGAUGAGCUCUGCUCCUCUCUUUCAUGGAGUUUAGCCUUGCCGCUUGUGCUGUUCUGCGUACCAGGACAUCUCCCUGCGGUGCUUGCUCAAGGGACUGACCACGGAUAGCUUCUGAUCCCAAAUCUGCAUGUAGCCCCAGGCACUGUGCAGCUUGCACAGCAGUCAGACCGUCCUGCCUCGCCUUUCCACUGGUGUCGUGGGACAGCUGUGAUUACAUGAGUCCUCCCCUUUCCCUUAGGGGCCUUAGCUGGGUGUGGAGAAAAGCGUAUCUUGCGGGGCUCUUAUGCACGCAGCCACUUCCAAUGAGCUCAUGAUGGGGUCAAUGCCAGAAUGAGGGCAAACAGAGCAUAAAAAGGGUUUGCACCCACAUGCCAGUCAGAUACAGUCCAUUUUUGGUAAUUGGGAUUUAGCUCCUAAUCAAACGCUGCCUGACUGUUGCUCAACCUCGUUGCGAAGGCAGCAGCCAUGUGAGAUGAAUGAAGAUGUCUGGCCUGGUUCAGCUACCAGGCAAUAUCUCCUUGGGAAGCAGCUGCUCUGUGGUUUGCGCCUGUUUCCUGUCUCCAGGGGCUGCCAGACCCACGCUGUGAUGACUGGAGUCUGCAUGGGUUGGCCUUUCCCUGCUGGGAGCAGUUCAGCGGGCACAUUUCUGGCAGCACUUACCUUUGCAUGCGGCUAAGCUGGGGGGUACCUUGUCCCACCAGAUAAAGCAGAGGUGCAGGAGCCAGCGCAGCAUGAAAUGCUGGGACAAGGCUGUGUUGGAGCCUGAGGCUCAGCCUGUACUUCCAUGCUUCUCCUUGAUGGAGCCGGAUGGGCUCUGUGUCAGCUACCCAGCAUCUGCCGGUGCGGCUAAACAGCAAUGCAGUCCUAGCUAACACCUCGGAGACGCCGUGUGAUCAAAAGCCUCACCUCUGGCUUGUGAUCUGGCUCUGGCUGCCUUCAGCCCAUUGCUCACUACAGGCCCGGGGCAGGUUUGGGGAGGAAGUGGGAAAGGAAAGGGCCCCGAAGCAGUGACGGAAAAGCCACGACAGACCCACGGAUCGCAGUCUCCACUGUGGGUUGAUCAGAUGCACAGAGCGUGGGACGGCCAGGUUCUCGUCCCUUCCCCAUACCCACAGGGCAACAGCAGCUACCCGAAUCUGGAGUGUCCGCUGUCACAGGUUGCCCUGUGGCCUGCAGGUGAGAGCCGUGGCUACAUCUGCGCUUCACCCGGGCUGAAGCGGCCAGCUCCGGGAGGGCCUGAAGCACCGCCAAAAAGAGACGGAGAUUUAUUCAUCUGGAUGAAUAGGAUGAAGUCACAGGCGUGAACUGACCUCAGCCAGAUCUCCCAGGGGCUGACUAUCACUCUUUUGCUCUGCCUCCUUCCUUUGCUGUUAGGAAACAGUUCUGAAUCAAAAGCAUGAGGUUACUGUAACAAGCUGAACAGAGACUGCUAUGGAAUUGGGAUGUUUUCUGCCCCUUAUGGAGCCUGAAACCUGUUCAUCCCAGACCCCCACCUCAUUCCAGGUAUUAUCUUGGGCCAGUGCUCCCUCUGCUCAGCAGCUGUUUCCUUUCUGCAGAGCAGGGAUCAUGGUAUUCCUCGUCCUUCCCCAGCAAGGUCUGGCACAUUUGGCAAGUACCUGGUAGGAAGCAUUGGAAGCCAAACCUCAGCACUGACUCAUUACUACUCAGGCCCUUAAAACGCUCCUGCACAGUGGCCCUUUCUCCCUAGAUCCUUUCCCAGCCUUCUAGGCACUGAGCACAGAUGGCACUGUGCCGGAGCAAGACACUGUGCCUUUCCGAAAUGGUGCCUGAGGUCCUUCUCCGCUUUUUGGUUCUCAUGAUACUCCAUUUCUUUGAUUUUUCCUUCUGUUUGUUUUUUUUUUGGAAGCCUGCAGGGCUUUCAGACGCACCAUACAUGGAGGGGUCACUUAGGGAGAGAGGCAGAAGGGAGGAAGGCAUUUCUUUCUGGUUCUAUUCUGAGUCAGAGUAGGAGGUUUGCCGCUUCAGUUUUCUUGAACAGCUCAAGUACCUGCCGCAGAGCAGCAGCAGCCGGCCCACCCCGCCCUGCCAGCUGUGCUACGUGCUGCUCUGGCGCUGGGGGGGCCCCCAGCCCCUGGGCGAAAGAGCCUGGGGCUCUGCGAGGGCCGCCUGGCAGCCACCACUGCCCCUGCCCGCGGGGGUCCCUUGCACCUGUCCUGCUCUGGGGACUUCUGCAGUGCUGUUAAGUGAAACGGCCAACAGACAAGAUGCGUAAACACUUCUCCGAGCAGGAGCACAAGCGAUGCUGGUCUUUGGCCCCUCUUUCUGGCCCAGCGAUCCUUAGACAGCUUCAGCGGGGAAGGCUCAGACCCCUCCUCCUCACGUCCUCCUGCUCGCUCGGUGGCAUGUUGCCUGGGGGCGUGGGAACUGGGAGAGGGGGUGUGACCCCCAGCCCCCUCCAGCAGCACAGGGGUUGAAGCAAGGCACCCCGCUCCCUGCGCGCCGCGGACAUGUCCCUGGUGCUCCCCAGGGCUCUGCAGAGCUGCCCUAGGCCCACGCAGGCCUCCUUACGCCACGUCUGAGGAGGUCCGAAGGCCCUGGAGGCCACCAGGCACCUAAAGCACAAGGUGACUUUGCAGCACCAGGAGAAAACAGCCUCUUUGGGGGCCUGGGCUGGACGCCGACAGGGAAUAUAUUCAUCUAUCAGGCAUCUGCGUGUCCUCACUGUGUUGAUGCUCUGUUACCAGCGGGCUGCUGAGUAAUUUCUGGGUAACAAGGAACAAUAUUUCCCAAAUGCAGCCCUCCAGUGAUUCAUGAGAAACAACCCCUACCUUCAUCUUUCAAAAGCUUUAGUCAUUUUAAUGGGGAAACAAUUUCCUGCCAGUUGUGGCUACCCAGCACAAACUGCAGAUAUUCAAAGAGGAGAGCUUGCGGUCCAUUAGUUGGCCAACCGCUAUUCUUCAGCCCUAGAGCCAGGAUAAUCCUGGGUGGGCGCAUCCUCAAAAGGGUCAGCUGUUAGAGGCAUUUAAAUGCCUUUACAUUUGUAUCCAGACACCUGCUGGGAAGUUCAGCCCUACUGAAGGCCUCCAGUGAACUUUCACAAAUCUUGGGGAUAGGUUUCUAAUCACCGAGAAAUGUCUGAAAGUUUCACUCCCUGUUUUUCCCAACACUGGGCUUUCAGAUAAUUACAUCCUUGGUACAAAUUUGUCAAGGAGAAAGAAGGAGGUGAAGAAAGAAAUUUCAAUAUUCUCAGCACUUUUCUUAAAGCAGCAUUAAUUCUCAAUAGCCUGCAGAGGUACAAGGAAUACUCUAAACGAUGUUUGGUCUCCAGGCAGAAUCCAUUUCCCGUAACAGUGCCUUUCUGAAGCAGGAAUUCCACCAUGAAGUAAAACUUUUUGAAGUACUUAGAAGAAGAGGUUUCUAUUGUGUUUCGUGUGACAGAAUAAUCCUUCCUUGAGAACACACUUCUAUCAUUUUUCUCCCAUCUGUGGAUUUUGGCUUCAGUCAACAUUAUGACUUUCACGAAGUAUGAGAGUGAAGUCCUAACCCCUGAAAGCAACCCAGCCAGCCCUGCAGGAACUUCCUGCAGAUGUGUCCACCGCAGCAGAAGCAGUUUUCCUGUAAAAUGUAAAAUGUGCCCUUCAGCUGAAACGGGUUUCCCUGUUACAAGACUUACUUUAUGAAAAGAAACAUAUUUACCACAUCUCCAUCUGUUCCACUGGCUAAACGAUAUUCUCUUUUUUCAGUGCUUUGUUCACGUUACCAUUGUCCAUGUGAUUUCUCUUUAAAGCUUUCCUUUUUGAAGUACCUGUAAAAACCUAACAAUUUCUACUUAACGGGUGAGCAAAGCUGUCUUCUAUUGACUCCCCUUCUCCAGCUCUGUGCCCUGUGCUUUUCCCACCUUUCUUUUCUGUGCUUGUACCCUGGACAGAGGUGUCUUGGCUGAGACUCUUAGGAGUUGCAUUAAUAAAUCAUCACAAGCAUCAUCAGCACUGUCAGCAUCUCUUGUAUAUGGGAGCUGGAUACACCAAAUAAAAGCGAAACCAGGCCUCAGCAGGGAAACAGGGUGGUGUCUUUUCCCUCAUUUUCAUUCAAAAACCUACUGUCAUGUUUUUUCCACUUAUCUUUUUCUGUGGGUUUCCAGCAACACUCAUCAGAAAUCGGGUGUCACCAGAAAGGGCCCUAGAACUACUCGACCAUGAAUGCAGCACUUGAAACUGAUCAAGGCUACAAUGGACAGAAUUCAGGGCUUCUCUUAUCUGACAAAAAAGCAGACCGUGAAUACAGUUUUGGAGGCCUCUCUGAGCGUUGAGAAGCCCUUGAGCCACCAGCUGCAGGCUUUUCACGUGCACCGAUGGCAAACCUCGGGUCAGCGGGAGGUCUGGAUGGCACUGAGCAAGUUAGUGUCUGAAUUAAAAUGACGCCCCGUAUCACACUCUGCUGCGGUUGGACAGGCAAUCUCAGAACCAAGGUAGAGAGAAACUCAAAUAAAAGUUUUUUGCUGUUGCAGCUGGGGUAUUAGCAAGGAACUUAGGCUGACUCACUAAUAACGUCUGGAGCAACCCCUUCAAGCUUUGAAGUUAGCCUUGCCUUCAGCAGGGGGUUGGAUCAGAGACAUCCAGAAGUCCCUUCCCACCUAAAUCUUUCUGUGUGAUUCAACGAUAAGGUAAUUUCAACAGUACCAGAAAAUACCCAUGUAAAUGCUGUGCCUGCAUAUUUGGGUUCUUUUGAUGCAAAACAUGGUAUUUUCCUGGUGGCAGGUGAUGCCUUCACACCAGGGAAAGCAGGCAGGGCAAGCCACCUUUACACAGCCCAGAAAUUCAGUCUUUCUCUACAGGACCAAGUUUGUCCCUGAAAUGACCCUGUUCAUACCCAUUCUAUCCUGUAGGCUCACAUAUGUUGUUCCCUUUUGCUGCCUGGAGCCACCAUUGACUGCACGUUACCCUGUGCUGCCACUGCCUGAAGAAAAAAUUAAACCAGUUUCAGGUAAAAGGCCCUGUCUAAGCGCUCCAGGAUCCAUGGAGGCUCAGGCCAAAACCCAUGUAUUGUGUUUCUGACUGGAAUAAAUAUGAAAUAUUU